rnacentral:rRNA from 2 species
GAUGAACGCUGGCGGCGCGCCUAACACAUGCAAGUCGAACGAUUAAAGCACCUUCGGGUGUGUAUAAAGUGGCGAACGGCUGAGUAACACGUGGGCAACCUGCCCCUCUCAUUGGGAUAGCCACGGGAAACCGUGGAUAAUACCGAAUACUUCGAGACUUCCGCAUGGAAGACUUGAGAAAGCUCCGGCGGAGAGGGAUGGGCCCGCGGCCUGUUAGCUUGUUGGUGGGGUAACGGCCUACCAAGGCAAUGAUGGGUAGCUGGGUUGAGAGACCAACCAGCCAGAUUGGGACUGAGACACGGCCCAGACUCCUACGGGAGGCAGCAGUGGGGAAUCUUGCACAAUGGGCGAAAGCCUGAUGCAGCGACGCCGCGUGCGGGAUGAAGGCCUUCGGGUUGUAAACCGCUUUCAGCAGGGACGAGGCGAAAGUGACGGUACCUGCAGAAGAAGC